UUCCACAAAAUUUUAUAGAAUGGAAUUGAAGAUAUUACAUCACGAGAAUUCUAAAAUUUUCCAUUUGUAAAGCAAUAAGAUCUACAAAAUAACAUACUAAAGCAGCAUGCAAUUCAAAAUUCACAUUUUAGAAAAUUAACUUAAUAAUGUAUCCUCCUCCAAAUUCUAUCGAGGGUACAUCUCAGAGAUUGAAGCAUCAUUCUUGGAAGAUUGUUCCUGGCAAUACGACUCUGUUAAACUUGAUGAUGCCUCUGGUAACACGAUAUUGGGAACAAAAAAUGCAGGUUUCAGAGGCACUGGAAGACUCAAAGAGCAGCUACUAAGCAUAAUUACAACAGAAGCCAUGGUUGGUCUAUCAGCUAAAUUUUCUUGAACACAUAACAAGCCAAUGUGGAUGCACCUAAUCAUCUCAUUUCUUGAGCCAACACUCAAAGUGGGAUCUAUCAGAUUUAAAGCUGUUCCCUGAUUCCAAUUCUUCCAAGCAUAAGUUAGAAGGUCUUCGAAGUCCUCCCCAUUGCGGAAACUUCUAGUCCGACCACUCACAAUUUCCAAAACUAUUACACCAAAGCUAAAGACAUCUGA
rnacentral:misc_RNA from 1 species